rnacentral:rRNA from 1 species
AUAUUUAGCCGGUCCUUACUUUAGAGGUACCGUCAUUUUCUUCCCUCUUUACAGAGCUUUACAAUCCAUAAGACCUUCAUCACUCACGCGGCGUCGCUGCGUCAGGCUUUCGCCCAUUGCGCAAUAUUCCCUA